rnacentral:rRNA from 1 species
GACGAACGCUGGCGGCGUGCUUAACACAUGCAAGUCGAACGGAAAGGCCCUGCUUGCAGGGUCCUCGAGUGGCGAACGGGUGAGUAACACGUGGGUGAUCUGCCCUGCACUUCGGGAUAAGCCUGGGAAACUGGGUCUAAUACCGGAUAGGAGCCAUUUUUAGUGUGAUGGUUGGAAAGGUUUUUCGGUGUAGGAUGAGCUCGCGGCCUAUCAGCUUGUUGGUGGGGUAAUGGCCUACCAAGGCGGCGACGGGUAGCCGGCCUGAGAGGGUGGACGGCCACAGUGGGACUGAGAUAAGGACCAGACUCCGACGGGAGGCAGCAGUGGGGAAGAGUGAACAAGGGGCGCAAGCCUGAUGCAGCGACGCCGAGGGGGGGAGGACGGCCUUCGGGUUGGAAACUCAUUUCGCUAGGGACGAAGCUUUUUGUGACGGUACCUAGAGAAGAAGCACCGGCUAACUACGUG